CGGGCGGCGUGCUAUACUGCAAGUCGAACGCUUUUUCUUUCACCGGAGCUUGCUCCACCGAAAGAAAAAGAGUGGCGAACGGGUGAGUAACACGUGGGUAACCUGCCCAUCAGAAGGGGAUAACACUUGGAAACAGGUGCUAAUACCGUAUAACACUAUUUUCCGCAUGGAAGAAAGUUGAAAGGCGCUUUUGCGUCACUGAUGGAUGGACCCGCGGUGCAUUAGCUAGUUGGUGAGGUAACGGCUCACCAAGGCAACGAUGCAUAGCCGACCUGAGAGGGUGAUCGGCCACACUGGGACUGAGACACGGCCCAGACUCCUACGGGAGGCAGCAGUAGGGAAUCUUCGGCAAUGGACGAAAGUCUGACCGAGCAACGCCGCGUGAGUGAAGAAGGUUUUCGGAUCGUAAAACUCUGUUGUUAGAGAAGAACAAGGAUGAGAGUAAAAUGUUCAUCCCUUGACGGUAUCUAACCAGAAAGCCACGGCUAACUACGUGCCAGCAGCCGCGGUAAUACGUAGGUGGCAAGCGUUGUCCGGAUUUAUUGGGCGUAAAGCGAGCGCAGGCGGUUUCUUAAGUCUGAUGUGAAAGCCCCCGGCUCAACCGGGGAGGGUCAUUGGAAACUGGGAGACUUGAGUGCAGAAGAGGAGAGUGGAAUUCCAUGUGUAGCGGUGAAAUGCGUAGAUAUAUGGAGGAACACCAGUGGCGAAGGCGGCUCUCUGGUCUGUAACUGACGCUGAGGCUCGAAAGCGUGGGGAGCGAACAGGAUUAGAUACCCUGGUAGUCCACGCCGUAAACGAUGAGUGCUAAGUGUUGGAGGGUUUCCGCCCUUCAGUGCUGCAGCAAACGCAUUAAGCACUCCGCCUGGGGAGUACGACCGCAAGGUUGAAACUCAAAGGAAUUGACGGGGGCCCGCACAAGCGGUGGAACAUGUGGUUAAUUCGAACAACGCGAAAACCUUACCAGUCUUGACUCCUUUGACCCUCUAGAAAUAAGCUUCCCUUCGGGGCAAAUGACCGUGGGGAUGGUUGCCUCACUCCGGCUGGAAUUUGGGUAAUCCCAACGAACCACCCUAUUGUAUUGCCUAUU
rnacentral:rRNA from 1 species